rnacentral:rRNA from 1 species
UCCCGAGGUCUCAAGCGUUGUUCGGAUUCAUUGGGCGUAAAGGGUGCGUAGGCGGUGAGGUAAGUCGGAUGUGAAAUCCCGGGGCUCAGCCCCGGAACUGCAUUCGAUACUGCCUUGCUUGAGCACUGGAGAGGAGACUGGAAUUUACGGUGUAGCAGUGAAAUGCGUAGAUAUCGUAAGGAAGACCAGUGGCGAAGGCGAGUCUCUGGACAGUUGCUGACGCUGAGGCACGAAGGCCAGGGGAGCAAACGGG